CCCGGCACAAGCGAUGGAGCAUGUGGUUUAAUUCGAAGCAACGCGAAGAACCUUACCAGGUCUUGACAUCCCGAUGCUAUUUCUAGAGAUAGAAGUUACUUCGGUACAUCGGUGACAGGUGGUGCAUGGUUGUCGUCAGCUCGUGUCGUGAGAUGUUGGGUUAAGUCCCGCAACGAGCGCAACCCCUAUUGUUAGUUGCCAUCAUUCAGUUGGGCACUCUAGCGAGACUGCCGGUAAUAAACCGGAGGAAGGUGGGAUGACGUCAAAUCAUCAUGCCCCUUAUGACCUGGGCUACACACGUGCUACAAUGGUUGGUACAACGAGUUGCGAGUCGGUGACGGCGAGCUAAUCUCUUAAAGCCAAUCUCAGUUCGGAUUGUAGGCUGCAACUCGCCUACAUGAAGUCGGAAUCGCUAGUAAUCGCGGAUCAGCACGCCGCGGUCGAAUACGUUCCCGGGCCUU
rnacentral:rRNA from 1 species